GCCUAGCCGUAAACUUUUAUUCACAUCCAAAUCGCCAGGGAACUACGAGCUAAGCUUAAAACCCAAAGGACUUGACGGUACCCCAUAUCCACCUAGAGGAGCCUGUCCUAUAAUCGAUAAUCCACGUUUAACCUCACCAUUUUUAGUUACUCAGCCUGUAUACCUCCGUCGUCAGCUUACCACGUGAGCGUCAAUUAGUGAGCUUAAUGUUUUUCACCAAUACGUCAGGUCAAGGUGCAGCAAAUGAAAUGGGAAGAGAUGGGCUACACUUUCUAUUUUAGAAGAAACGGAAAACUACCUAUGAAAUCUAGUUAGAAGGCGGAUUUAGCAGUAAAAAGGAAUCAGCAUAUCCAUUUUAACCCGGCACUGGGGUGUGU
rnacentral:rRNA from 1 species